rnacentral:rRNA from 1 species
UGAUGCCUACGGGGCGCAGCAGUGGGGGAUAUUGCACAAUGGGGGGAACCCUGAUGCAGCGACGCCGCGUGGGCGAUGGAGUGCUUAGGCAUGGAAAGCCCUAUCAGCAGGGAAGAAAAUGACGGUACCUGACUAAGAAGCCCCGGCUAAAUACGUGCCAGCAGCCGCGGUAAUACGUAUGGGGCAAGCGUUAUCCGGAUUUACUGGGUGUAAAGGGAGCGAAGGCGGCCUGGCAAGCCUGA